UUUCCUGGUGACUUCUAACUCC
rnacentral:siRNA from 1 species